UCCGUUAUAGUCCAGUGGUUAGGAUUCCUGGCUCUCACCCAGGCGGCCCGGGUUCAAUUCCCGGUAACGGAA